CCCUUAGAUGUUCUGGGCCGCACACGCGCUACACUGAAGGAGGCAGCGUGUACUCCUGGAUCGAAAGAUUUGGGUAACCCGCGAAUCUCCUUCGUGCUAGGGAUUGAGGUUUGCAAUUAUCCUUCAUGAACGAGGAAUUCCCAGUAAGUGCAAGUCAUAAGCUUGCGCUGACUACGUCCCUGCCCUUUGUACACACCGCCCGUCGCUACUACCGAUGGAAUGAUUUAGUGAGGACUUCGGACUGGGACCGAUGCGGCUUUCGGGCUGCGUCGGUAUUCUGGAAAGAUGUCCAAACUGUAUCAUUUAGAGGAAGUAAAAGUCGUAACA
rnacentral:rRNA from 1 species